GACGAACGCUGGCGGCGUGCUUAACACAUGCAAGUCGAGCGGUAAGGCCCUUUCGGGGGUACACGAGCGGCGAACGGGUGAGUAACACGUGGGUGAUCUGCCCUGCACUUCGGGAUAAGCCUGGGAAACUGGGUCUAAUACCGGAUAUGACCACUGAUCGCAUGGUUGGCGGUGGAAAGGUUUACUGGUGCAGGAUGGGCCCGCGGCCUAUCAGCUUGUUGGUGGGGUAAUGGCCUAACAAGGCGACGACGGGUAGCCGACCUGGGAGGGUGACCGGCCACACUGGGACUGAGACACGGCCCAGACUCCUACGGGAGGCAGCAGUGGGGAAUAUUGCACAAUGGGCGAAAGCCUGAUGCAGCGACGCCGCGUGAGGGAUGACGGCCUUCGGGUUGUAAACCUCUUUCAGCAGGGACGAAGCGCAAGUGACGGUACCUGCAGAAGAAGCACCGGCCAACUACGUGCCAGCCGCCGCGGUAA
rnacentral:rRNA from 1 species